UACGUAGGGUGCAAGCGUUGUCCGGAAUUAUUGGGCGUAAAGAGCGUGUAGGCGGCCCGAUUAGUCCGCUGUGAAAGUCCAGGGCUCAACCCUGGAAUGCCGGUGGAUACUGUCGGGCUAGAGUCCGGAAGGGGCGAGUGGAAUUCCUGGUGUAGCGGUGAAAUGCGCAGAUAUCAGGAAGAACACCCGUGGCGAAGGCGGCUCUCUGGAACGCAACUGACGCUGAGACGCGAAAGCGUGGGGAGCAAACAGG
rnacentral:rRNA from 1 species